rnacentral:rRNA from 1 species
UGGGCGUAAGAGCUCGUAGGCGGUCUGUCGCGUCGGCUGUGAAAACUCGGGGCUCAACCCCGAGCCUGCAGUCGAUACGGGCAGACUAGAGUGCUGUAGGGGAGACUGGAAUUCCUGGUGUAGCGGUGAAAUGCGCAGAUAUCAGGAGGAACACCGGUGGCGAAGGCGGGUCUCUGGGCAGUAACUGACGCUGAGGAGCGAAAGCGUGGGGAGCGAACAGGAUUAGAUACCCUGGUAGUCCACGCCGUAAACGGUGGGUGCUAGGUGUGAGCGGUAUUCCACGCCGUUCGUGCCGCAGCUAACGCAUUAAGCACCCCGCCUGGGGAGUACGGCCGCAAGGCUAAAACUCAAAGGAAUUGACGGGGGCCCGCACAAGCAGCGGAGCAUGUGGCUUAAUUCGACGCAACGCGAAGAACCUUACCAAGGCUUGACAUGCAGGGAAAUCCUCCAGAGAUGGGGGGUCCGCAAGGGUCCUGCACAGGUGGUGCAUGGUUGUCGUCAGCUCGUGUCGUGAGAUGUUGGGUUAAGUCCCGCAACGAGCGCAACCCUCGUUCUAUGUUGCCAGCGCGUGAUGGCGGGGACUCAUAGGAGACUGCCGGGGUCAACUCGGAGGAAGGUGGGGAUGACGUCAAAUCAUCAUGCCCCUUAUGUCUUGGGCUGCACACAUGCUACAAUGGCCGGUACAAAGGGCUGCUAAACCGUGAGGUGGAGCGAAUCCCAAAAAGCCGGUCUCAGUUCGGAUUGGGGUCUGCAACUCGACCCCAUGAAGUCGGAGUUGCUAGUAAUCGCAGAUCAGCAACGCUGCGGUGAAUACGUUCCCGGGCCUUGUACACACCGCCCGUCACGUCACGAAAGUCGGUAACACCCGAAGCCAGUGGCCCAACCCGUGAGGGGGGGGGCUGUCGAAGGUGGGAUCGGCGAUUGGGACGAAGUCGUAACAAGGUAGCCGU